UACGGAGGGGGCGAGCGUUGUCCGAAGUUACUGGGCGUAAAGGGUGCGUAGGCGGUCGGGUAAGUCUGACGUGAAAUCUCCAAGCCUAACUUGGAAACUGCGUUGGAUACUCUCCGGCUAGAGGAAUGGAGGGGAGACUGGAAUACUUGGUGUAGCAGUGAAAUGCGUAGAUAUCGGGAAGAACACCCGUGGCGAAGGCGGCUCUCUGGGACGGUACUGACGCUGAGACGCGAAAGCGUGGGGAGCGAACAGG
rnacentral:rRNA from 1 species